rnacentral:rRNA from 1 species
UACGAAGGGGGCUAGCGUUGCUCGGAAUCACUGGGCGUAAAGGGUGCGUAGGCGGGUCUUUAAGUCAGGGGUGAAAUCCUGGAGCUCAACUCCAGAACUGCCUUUGAUACUGAGGAUCUUGAGUUCGGGAGAGGUGAGUGGAACUGCGAGUGUAGAGGUGAAAUUCGUAGAUAUUCGCAAGAACACCCGUGGCGAAGGCGGCUCUCUGGGACGGUACUGACGCUGAGACGCGGAAAGCGUGGGGAGCGAACAGG